rnacentral:rRNA from 1 species
CGAGAUUCCCCCAGUAGCGGCGAGCGAGCGGGGAGCAGCCCAGAGCCUGAAUCAGUGUGUGUGUUAGUGGAAGCGUCUGGAAAGGCGCGCGAUACAGGGUGACAGCCCCGUACACAAAAAUGCACAUACUGUGAGCUCGAUGAGUAGGGCGGGACACGUGGUAUCCUGUCUGAAUAUGGGGGGACCAUCCUCCAAGGCUAAAUACUCCUGACUGACCG